ensembl:lncRNA
GACACCUGUGAGUUAGAUGGACUACCUGUGAAGUUCACACAGUGUAGCUUGUUGGUGGUCAGUAUUGACAGGUCAGCUGGUAUAAUACUUCACUAAAGCCUCAAAUACUGUAGUAAAUAUUCAAUUCAAUUCAAUUUCUUUAUUGUCCCACAAGGGGAAAUUAGUUUAGCAGCAGGAUAUAAAUAAACAGAACAAUACUAUAAAAUAAUAAUGACAAUAAUAGUGAUUAAAAAGUCCAAGAACAGUUAUUUGCCAUUGAGGAGACAAGAUGCAGUGGGGAUAAAAGAGACCUGGAGUCUUUUAGUCUUCCUCACAGGUACUCUAAAACGGCGGCUGGAAGGCAACAACUCAAACUCAAUCUUCAGAGGUUUUCAGCUACCUUAUCAAAUACAUUUAAAUGGAAACCAAUAUUAAAUGGAAACUUUCACCACAAGGUUGUAACAUUUUACCAAAAACAUUAAGUGUAGUUGUCCACCCCAACCAGGAUUACAUACUUCUAUGUACUUUUAAAAUUAUUUACUUCCUAAUAGAAGAUUUCUACCUAACCUAAUGCUUCUAAACUGCAUCAUCUCUGGUCUUGUAACUAAAGGCUAACCAGUAACGCGAAUUAGGUACAAAUUCUGGACUCGAUGUGAUUCCAGUUCAUAUUACAUGAGAAUACAGCCUGACAAUGUUUUAACUUUAGCUGACAUCUCUGCGAUGCGAUACAUCAGGGUUUAAGCAACCUUUAAAGAUUGGGUCAUGUCAGGGAAAAACUUGCAUUAAUCAUACUUAAAAAAAGAAAGAAAAAAAAAAGAUGGAUUCAUCUGUGUCAGAGAUAUUUCAGAGAUUGUAUUCCUUGUAGAACACCUGUCCUAUCACUGGUGCAUUGUGUUUGUAGCAGCUAGCUUAAUGCAGAAAUAAAUAGCUACAAUGAGAUAUAGAUUUCACUAUUUAGUAAAGAGAUAUGACACCAAAGAGAACAUUUCACACAUACUGUGUUUCAGGCCGCCUGUGUCAUUCACUGAUUUAACCUCAGUAAUUUUGAAAAUGCCCAUUGUGAUUUGUGAGCAUAAAACUGUGCAUUCCUACACAAAGUUAUUUUUUCAGAGCACAAUUGAAUGCUUAACUCAAAAGAGCUUUGUCCCCCCCACCGAAAUGCAGACAUUUCUAUUUCUAACAUUAAAAAUUGUUACAUUUUGUUCAGUACCAGGG